UCACACAACGACUCGGUUUCUUCCGGAAGCCUUACUGGAAGUUUGUUUUUUGCUGUACAGGCUUGAAUGUUUCUCCGUGUCUUCUUUGAGCGCUGCUAUUGGGUGCUGUGAGGGGACGUCAAGUAAGCUCCGUUUUUGAAACAUGGUGAGCGCAUGGUUACUGUCUAUAAUGGAUAGGGGCAGGUGGCUGAGCAGUGGGAGCUGAGGUGGUGGGUCCUCUCUGGGGCUGGAUGGGAAGCCUCAGCCAGAUGUAACCAGAUGUGGCCAAUUGUGCGGACCUUUGUGAUGCUCCUCACUUGCUAAAACAGGCGGUGAACUCUGAAUAACAUCAGUAUCAGGGCUGAAUCAGCUCAAAACAUUAGGAUUAGGGGCUUGCUUGUAGAAAUAUCACGGGCAGGAUGCCAAACAUGGAAAGCCCUAGUUUCUCUUGAAUCUUCUAUAAGUUUUGCCCCCAGCAUUUACCUAUUAAGUAUAAGAUCCAUUUGUAGUUAAUUUUGUGGAGCUGUUAAAAGGCAUCUCAUGUGUUGGGUAGCACUCCCAUGUUAAGCUGAGAUGUAGAAGAGUAGAAUUGAUGAUGUAAAGGGUUUACCAAGCUUAGGAAAUAGUGACAGUAAGUAGCAUUUAGCUGAUGGAGGACUGUGUCAAAAACACCCCACAGGUUAGUAUGCUAAGCAGGCCGGUUAGAGACUAGGAUGCUAGGAUUCACAUGUUAGCUCACCAGGUUUGUCUACACAGCUGGCUCCAAACUAUAACAAAGGAGAGACAACUGUGAUGUACAAUCAGCCACUUGGCCCAUGCUCAAAGCAAAAAGCAGGUCUGUAACAAGCUGCUCAAUCCAUCCUUAACAGAGUCACAACCAACAUGAAGGCCUGGUGUGCCUAAAGCUCCCAUUGUCUAAUUGAGAAAAGCAUU
rnacentral:lncRNA from 1 species